rnacentral:rRNA from 1 species
AUGCAAGUCGAACGGUAACAUUUCUAGCUUGCUAGAAGAUGACGAGUGGCGGACGGGUGAGUAAUGCUUGGGAACUUGCCUUUGCGAGGGGGAUAACAGUUGGAAACGACUGCUAAUACCGCAUAAUGUCUUCGGACCAAACGGGGCUUAGGCUCCGGCGCAAAGAGAGGCCCAAGUGAGAUUAGCUAGUUGGUAAGGUAACGGCUUACCAAGGCGACGAUCUCUAGCUGUUCUGAGAGGAAGAUCAGCCACACUGGGACUGAGACACGGCCCAGACUCCUACGGGAGGCAGCAGUGGGGAAUAUUGCACAAUGGGGGGAACCCUGAUGCAGCCAUGCCGCGUGUGUGAAGAAGGCCUUCGGGUUGUAAAGCACUUUCAGUUGUGAGGAAAAGUUAGUAGUUAAUACCUGCUAGCCGUGACGUUNACAACAGA